rnacentral:misc_RNA from 1 species
UCGAAAAACAGCAUGGCGAGUUGUCGCUGGCCUUUUGGUCGUGCACGCUCGUCGUUCUUCAUUUCUCCAUCUAUCUGUGCACCUCUUGUGUGGAUCCAUGUCCCUUUGGGGGGACGAUUGGGGACUGCUUCGCAAUGCCCAUUUUUUUUUUGCAGGCUUUCCUUGUGCUGGAUCCUCAUUUUCUUCACAUACCAGUAGAAACAAUAGAGAAGGGUUGGAAAUAUAAAUAUAAAUAUA